UGGAGCGCGCGCAUGCCCGGCAGCUCCCGCUGCUGAAUAGCUGAGAGGCUCACUGAGGUGGCCAGCUGUGCUCCGAGUGCAGCGGGGUCAGCAUGGACGAGGGCGAGUUGCACCCUGAAGAGCCUCAUCAUCGGAGAGAGUGGGGUGGGCAAGUACAGUAUCUCUUUCAGCCUGCUCUUGAGGUUCACAGAUGAUACCUUUGAUCCAGAACUUGCAGCAACAAUAGGCAGUCCACUUUACAUCGCUUUCCAGACAACUGGAAUUUGAGACAGCGUCUAUGACAGUGAUCCCUUUGUUUUCACCUGGCGUAUGUUCUCAUCAGACUGGUUGCAGUCACAUCAUGCUUCAGAAAUGCAGGAAUCACAUGAACCUGUCCAUCCACAGAUGAAGUGGUAAAGAAACUGCCAUAUUAGAUACAUGAUGGUGUACUCUUCAGCCAUAAAGCUUCAGGAAACCCUGUCAUCAGCAACCACGUGGAGGAACCUGUCCAUCCACAGAUGAAGGGAUCAGGAAACUCUGGUAUGUAUACUGAAGGGAAAUGCUUUUUGGCUACCAAAAUAAUGAAAUUACGUCGUUUGGAGCAACACAGAAGAACCUGUCCAUCCACAAAUGAAGACAUCAAGAAACUCUAGUAUGUACACAAGGCAAAACACUUCAGCCAUCAAAAUCACUGACAUUAUGUCACUUGGAGCAACCCAGUUGACCUGCCAAGGCUGCCUCUUCCUCCACAGGCAGAUGAACGCUGUGGCUGCUGCUCCUGGUGGGGACGUGCCCUGACACUGCCAACACCACUGCUCCUCUAUUUAUAAGUCUUAAUAGGGUUGCUGAUCCAGCUAUAGCUGAACAGCUGACAUGCACCUCACGCUAAGCCGGGUGCUUCAUAUGUAUCUAACUUGAAAAAUGCUGAGCUAGUUACCUUAAUACCGUUAACUUUUACUAAAAGUUUGUUUUUCUUUUUUAAUCCCAGCGAGCUCCAAACAAGUUUUAGGAGGCUCCCCAAAGCCAGCAAAGACUUUAACUAAAAGUAGAAUUUCAAAGUACUGUAAUUGGAUUAGAAACCAAACCCCAAAAUUAAAUGUGAAGAUUAGUAUCCGUACUGAACCGGCCCAUCUGGUGGACACAGGAUUUGUGUUAUCGACCACAAUGUUACCCAGGAUUCAUGAUUUCUGGAAUUUGUCAGUGUUAAGAAAAUUGGAUUGAGUACCAAAUACAGCAGAGCAAACCCAGCUUUGAGGCAAGGACCCUAUAAAGUAGUCAUGCAGUACUUUUGUUAGGGUUCUGGGUGCAAAUCUUCCUCAUCCCUCCCACCUUCUCCUGGCCUGCCUGUAAACCCAAACCACCAGGUACCUCAAUUUUCUUCAAGGUCAGGCUGUUCUUAAUGUUGCUAAAUUGAUCAAGGAAAUGGGUGAGCCACUGCUUGCUCUGCACAUAGUCCUCAGGGUGCUCAGGGUUCAGGCAGUACAGCAGCUGCAUGGUUUUGGCCCGCAGUAGUAACUGGCCCAUUCCUAGGCUGUCCCCAAAGAUGUGUCCUCUAAAGAAGCUGGUCAGGUAGAGGGGGUGUCCACCAUGGUUGUAGAUGGGGAAGGAGAUGCUGCUCAGGUCGAGCGUUUUGUUCACCUGCCAGGCGUACAGGAGCGGGUUGGGGACACCACACAGUGCAUCUUGUACCUGGCCCACACCUACUGGUACUGGUACAUUUCCCUGCGCCACACACGGAUCCUGCACUGUACUGUCCAGUCAACUGACUUCAUCAAAGAUGUCUGGGUCCAGCAGUGAGUUGCUGUGGAAGGCGACCAGAAUGGAGGUGAUAUCAGUCUCGGUGCUCUUCCUGGAGGCGGAGAAGCGGUCAGAGUCCUUGGUGGUGAAGU